UCUUUUUAUUGUUUUUUUUUUUUUAAUUUUAUGUUAUAUUGCAUUUUAUAUAGUCUUAAAUUUCACAUAAACUAAAUUCGUUGAGAAAAAUCAAGGCAAAUACAUCAAAGCUAGCAAAAGAAAUACAAUUAAGAUACUAAAAGAACUAAGACAGGUAAUUAUUUCAGCAACACAGUCAACUUUGUGCUGGGGACAACUACUGUGUCCACAAACAAAUCAAGGUUGAACCUAGUUAUCUGUGAGCAUUCACUCAAUAGUUUAUGUGUUAGAUCCACAAUUUGGGGCUGAUAUUUUUGUGUGGUACAUUAGUCAUGAAAUGUCUUUUCAUAUGAAAAAUGGCUGAAUAGCAUUAAUCCAUGAACUCAAUUCUGAAUUUGAUAGUUUUUUUGUUAAAUAUGGCCAAUUGCAAUAAUAUCACUAGUAUCUAAAUAAACUAUCUUUGUGCAUUUAAGAUAUUCAUACCCCUUACUAGACAGCCUGCAUAUAUUAGAUUCUUGUUGCUGCUAUAAGUACUAUUGCAAAAUAAAUGACAAAAUAAUUACCCUCAUAAUCUUCUAGUUAUUAGGUUAGACUUCUCAUAUGGUUCUCAUUGUCUAAGGAGUAGCACCCUGGAAUUUUCCAUGGAGUCCUUAAAGAAGAAUCCAUUUCCUGUCCUUUCCUAAACUUAGCAGAUACUAUCACUAUCCUUUCUUGAGUUAUGGUCGCUUCCUCUGUUUUAAAAUAUAAAACAUAGCAUCACCUCUUUGAUCACUAUCCCAUUGUUACUUCGCUCUCUGACAGCAGCUAGCAAUCCUCUUCUUUAACAUAUACGGUGGUAUAUCUGAAUAAUCUGAGAUAACUACCCCAAAUCAAAAUCUUUAAGCUAAUCAAAUGUGCAAAUUUCCUUUUAGUAUGCAAGAUUAUGCAUCCACUGCAUUUAGGGGGUCAUUGUAAGGUCAUCUUAGGGCAAACAGUCUACCAUCCAUAUAAUCUUUUUGUAUACUUCAUUUUAUAAUGGUGAUUAUGAAUCCAUAAGCAUGGGCUCCAAGAAACAAAUCUCAAUAAAAGUUUUGUUUUCAUAGAAUAUAAAACUAAAUGUGUAGGAUUGUACGUGUAUGCAUGACUUAGGACUUCUGAAGUUUCAUUUUUUUUUUCUUUUUUAAGAUUUGCUUUUGGAAUUAGAAAGGAAUUUAUAAGAUAACAAGCUCAAACCUGCUCUGCUACAAGAAUAGAGAAGCUCCCGCCAUUUCUAGGAGGGAAAUUUUCAUUUCUCUUCAUAUAGAAUUGAGCAUAAGUUCAAUAAAAGCAUGAUGUAUACUUCUUUGACUGUAGGGAAAUUAAGC
rnacentral:lncRNA from 1 species